UUUUUAAGCAGCUACCAAACCCCCCAGAGCGCACCCAUCCCUGUAGCAAAAGGGUGGGAAGACUUAAAAAUAGAGGCAAAAAGCCAACCGAGCUUGGUGAUAGCUGGCUACUCAACAAAAGAAUUUAAGUUCAACUUUAGGCAUUUAUGAGCCACCAUUUAAUAAAACUCUUCCUGCUAAACCUAAAGAAAAUCAAUGGGGGUACAGCCCCAUUGAACCGGAAUACAGCCCGAAAUGAGAGACCCCCCCCCAUUUUUUAUUCGUAGGCUUCAAAGCAGCCACCAAAAAUCGCGUUAUAGCAUACUUACUAAACAAUUUCAAUAACUUAAUAACCCUCCUAACUUACAACGAGUCAUUCUAUACUACUAUAGAAACACCAAUGCUAAAAUUAGUAAUAAGAAAUACUCAUUUCUCUUCUGCACCCCUUUAAGUCAGAUUAGAAAAACUACUGACAAUUAACAAACCAAAUAAACACAUAACUCCAUCAAGCCCUAAUGUUACUAAAAACUUGUUACCCCCACACAGGCGUGCAAAAAAGAAAGACAAAACCCCACAAAAGGAACUCGGCAAAACUUAGUCCCAACUGUUUACCAAAAACAUAGCCUUUAGCCCCACAAGUAUUAAAGGUCUCGCCUGCCCAGUGACUCUUUAAACGGCCGCGGUAUCCUAACCGUGCAAAGGUAGCAUAAUCACUUGUCCCUUAAAUAGGGACUGGAAUGAAUGGCUAAAUGAGGACUAAACUGUCUCUUAUGGGUUGUCAAUGAAAUUGAUUUUCCAGUACAAAAGCUGGAAUAAACACAUAAGACGAGAAGACCCUGUGGAGCUUCAAAACCAAGUUCAUCAACCAAUGUUUCCUUGGGUUUUUAGUUGGGGCGACUUUGGAGUACAAAAAACCCUCCAAAAAUGUUAAACCAAUAAAAUUAAGAACAACAAGCCAAAAACUACAAAAGACCCAGCAAUCAACCCUAUGUUUGUCUGACCAGUGAACCAAGUUACCCCAGGGAUAACAGCGCUAUCCCCUUCUAGAGUCCCUAUCGACAGGGGGGUUUACGACCUCGAUGUUGGAUCAGGACACCCCAAUGGUGCAGCCGCCAUUAAAGGUUCGUUUGUUCAACGAUUAAAGUCCUA
rnacentral:rRNA from 1 species